GAAGGUCCGGGCGUUAUCCGGAUUUAUUGGGUUUAAAGGGAGCGUAGGCCGUUGUUUAAGCGUGUUGUGAAAUGUCCCGGCUCAACCGUGGCACUGCAGCGCGAACUGGACGACUUGAGUGCGCACAAAGUGGGCGGAAUUCGUGGUGUAGCGGUGAAAUGCUUAGAUAUCACGAAGAACUCCGAUUGCGAAGGCAGCUCACUGGAGCGCAACUGACGCUGAAGCUCGAAAGUGCGGGUAUC
rnacentral:rRNA from 1 species